rnacentral:tRNA from 1 species
GGCUCUGUAGUUCAAUGGAUAGAAUAGAAGUUUCCUAAACUUUAGAUACAAGUUCGACUCUUGUCAGGGCUACUA